AUCCAGCUGAUGGACGAGUCCCAAAUAGGACGAAAUGCGCAUCCUGGAU
rnacentral:hammerhead_ribozyme from 1 species